rnacentral:rRNA from 1 species
AUACGUAGGGGGCGAGCGUUGUCCGGAAUGAUUGGGCGUAAAGGGCGCGUAGGCGGCUUUGCAAGUCAGUAGUGGAAGUCCAUUUUUCAAGGAUGGAAGUGCUACAGAAACUGCGGAGCUUGAGUGCAGGAGAGGUUAUCGGAAUUCCCGGUGUAGCGGUGAAAUGCGUAGAGAUCGGGAGGAACACCAGUGGCGAAGGCGGGUAACUGGACUGCAACUGACGCUGAGGCGCGAAAGUGUGGGGAGCAAACAGGAUUAGAUACCCUGGUAGUCCACACCGUAAACGAUGAGCACUAGGUGUCGGGCUCGCAAGAGUUCGGUGCCGCAGUUAACGCAUUAAGUGCUCCGCCUGGGGAGUACGUACGCAAGUAUGAAACUCAAAUGAAUUGGCGGG